AAAACAAGCAUAUGAAUUUUUGAAUUUAGUUAAACAUUCAAGUUUUUUAAAAUCAGGUUUGUUUUUGUUAAAAUUGUUUUUAACUAAAAUAAUUAAAUGAAAUAUAUUUUAAAAAACAAAACAAAUAGACUAUGUCAGUCAGGUCAACAUGAAAAACUUAAAAUAUUGGCUUCUGCAGCUAACUCAGUCGUCUUCAUCUUCAUUUCACCAUUUUCCUGAUUGUUCCUGUAAAGAGUG